rnacentral:rRNA from 1 species
AGGACGAACGCUGGCGGCGUGCUUAACACAUGCAAGUCGAACGGAAAGGCCCUGCUUUGUGGGGUGCUCGAGUGGCGAACGGGUGAGUAACACGUGAGUAACCUGCCCCUGACUUUGGGAUAACUUCAGGAAACUGGGGCUAAUACCGGAUAGGAGCUCCUGCUGCAUGGUGGGGGUUGGAAAGUUUCGGCGGUUGGGGAUGGACUCGCGGCUUAUCAGCUUGUUGGUGGGGUAGUGGCUUACCAAGGCUUUGACGGGUAGCCGGCCUGAGAGGGUGACCGGCCACAUUGGGACUGAGAUACGGCCCAGACUCCUACGGGAGGCAGCAGUGGGGAAUAUUGCACAAUGGGCGGAAGCCUGAUGCCAGCAACGCCGCGUGCGGGAUGACGGCCUUCGGGUUGUAAACCGCUUUCGCCUGUGACGAAGCGUGAGUGACGGUAAUGGGUAAAGAAGCACCGGCUAACUACGUGCCAGCCGCGGC